UUUGUGUGCCUCCAUCACAGAAGCUAUGCCCUUGUUCACAGAUGCCACCUGCAGAGGGUGCUCUGUGCUGCCCUGCUAUGGAUGUGGCAUCCCCACAGAACCCCAGUUUGUCGCUUCCAUGUCCCUUCCAGCUUGUGCUGCAGCACUAGCUCCAGCCUCGUCCCAUGGAUCCCAUCCGCCAAGCAGGCCGAAUUCCCUGUAGCCGGCACCGCUCUGACUCCUGCUGCUGAGGAGCUCUCCACCUGCCCCAGCAGGGCCGGCUGGGGCCGCAGCCUGGUGGGUCUCAGGCCCUUGUACCUCAUCCUCAGUGAAUUGGGUGGCAUCUCCCCAUGGUCUAGUGUAGUAUUUUCAGGCACUCAAGGCUGCUGUGCAGAAACUAAAAGGCACAAUCCAAGCAACGCUUCCCCUCCAGCAGGCGUGCAGACCACAGCCAGGGGCCUAGAGGUUGCUGUAGAGCAAACUCUGGCAGCUAGUAGCCGAGGGCUGCGUGGGAACCUCUCCCGGGCCAGAUCGUGCUGCUGUGGGACAGGCCCUUUGGCAGGAGGGAUUCCCGUACAGAGAUGUCCCAGCCUGGGCUUGGAUACAGCCUGAAAAGCUAUGCUGGGGGUGGGGGAAGGAGCUGGUUCCUGCUCUGGUUUGUGAUGAGCUCUGUAGAAUAGGAGGAAUGAGGGGUGGAAAUGCAGGUGCCGCCCAUCCAAGGUCAGCCCCCUCAGAGACCGGUUGGUGCCACCCUGACCCCAGUGCCUGUCUGCCAUCACUCAUCUGGCUUUGCAACGAGGCAUGAGACUUCUUCCUGGAUUACAGAUGGGGAAACUGAGGAAGUAGAAAAGCCAGGGCUAGAAUCCAGCAAUGGUGACUGCCAGUCCUGUGCUUUAACCGAUCGACCCUGCUGCUCCAAUCUCUGGGGAUCUGAUCGCAUGCCCUGUGUCACAAGGGAGUGGUUUUAACUGCUACCCCAGGCCCAGGGCUGGUAGCAGGGACGGAGCGGGGAGAGGUGGGUGAUUCCUCAGCCUGCAGCAGCUCUGGGCUUUCCCACACACUGGCUGCUGGGAUCUAGCAUGUUGCUGUGCAGAGGGAUUGCAACAAUGUGAAGCAUGGGACCCAGCCUAGAACAGUGGAGGGAGGGGAGCAGGUAGCAGCCCUGAUUUGUGCUGGCUCUAGGAAGGAACCCAUGGCCCCUCCACCUGCUGCUUGGCUAUGGGCACCUCCCACCAAGCUCCAGCCCAAUGUCGGUGCAAGGUCACUGGCAGCUGUCGCAGUCAAAUGUCACCGACUCAUUUAGAUCAACUCACCUCUCGCCUGCUCCCGGCGCUGCUCUGCCAGACUACAGCACUGCAAUCCCCAGUGCGCCAGAUGCACCACCCUGCUGGUCAGCCACCGCCAGGCACUUUCCACGUGCACAAAGACGCUGGGCCCCCAGACUGAUUUACCCACAGCAUCUGCCAUGCCCCAGCGGUGCUAGGAGACAGGCCUCCAGAGAUGCCCCCGAGGAUACACCAUUUGGGAGAAUGGACGGCACCGGUUGCCCCUCCACACACACCGAGGAUGGGCCAGGCGAGAGCAACAGUUGUAAGACAGAAAAAAACACAAGAUGUGCUUUAAAAACAAAAAUAUUCCCAUG